CCGAGUUAUACAACUCAUCAACCCUGUGAACAUACCUAUAAACGUUGCCUCGGCGGGAACAGACGGCCCCGUAACACGGGCCGCCCCCGCCAGAGGACCCCCCUAACUCUGUUUCUAUAAUGUUUCUUCUGAGUAAACAAGCAAAUAAAUUA
rnacentral:misc_RNA from 1 species